AGCGGAGGCAGGUGAGAGGGCUGCGCCGCUGGGGCUCCUGAAGACCCGCGUCCCGAGGAAAGGGAAGUUGGAGACCGAGUCGGUCCCCGCACUGUGAUGCUCCCGGCGGGGUAGCAGCGCAGAGACGAGAUUGGUUUCAAAACCAAUGAAGAAGAAAUCUGAGGCAGAGCCAGGUGGUGUCCAUGAAAACCUUAAGAGAAGGGGGCAAUUAAAUCAUCAUCAACAGCCUCGGCCUUGGAUUCAAAAAUGCUGCCAUAAAGGGGCCGGGAGAAAGCGGACAUUCACCUCUCCAUCUCAAACAAGUAUCCUUGUACAAGCCUUCAAGAAGAACUGAUUUCCUGGCAUUGCAACCAGAGAAGAAUUGGCUUGUCAAACAGGAAUUCCAGAAUCUCAAAUCCAGAUGUGGUUUCAGAACUGAAGAGCUCUGCACCCAGAGCAGAGCAGAGGUGGGCCCGUGAAGGUACUGGCAGAAGGCCCCAGUGCCGGACUAGCUCUGACUGUUUCGUGGGACCAGAGCCACCUGUCCACUGCCCACAGUAGCUCUCAUCAUUUUCCUCCCUCCAGUCUGCUUGAGAGCAUCCAGUCCUUGGCCACAGCAGCUCCUUUUCUCUCCCCCACGUUCUUUGUUCCUAGUGUUCCCUCUGGGGGCAUGGGGGCUCGUCAUUGAGGUCCAUGGUGGUGCAGCCCACUCUGCUGUGCAGGGAAGAGAGAAGCUGAACCUCUGGGAGCAGUUGCAAGUCACUCCUAAGCAGGAGCAAAUCCGGGACUGGGUCUCCACCUGUUCACACAGCUCUCUGGCCUCCAUCCCAGGGAACAUGCCAGGAGAACAACCUGCACACUGGCCUGGCCGCACUCCCCCUCCAAGACUGCCCUCAACCUGACCUUGGCAAUCCUCAGCUGCACUUGCAGGACCGGGCUCGGCCAUGCACAUCCCAAGCCAUGCAGUGGUGGCGCUAGGGGACCCAAGUUGUCAUCUCCAGAUGGGAGCCUCAGGAAUGGAGGGUUCUGCAGCCUGCACAGGCUGAGACACACGUCUGGCCACAGCAGGCACGCAGGUGAAGAGACAUCUCCUCUGCUGGAUCAGCACCCAGCACUUGGAAGCUCAUCAAGCCUCUUAGAUGGACUCUUGUCAGCCUCAGACAUUCAGGGCAAGGCACAGCCUUUCCUGAAGGCGGAUGCACGGGGAGAGGGACCACCGGGAAUCCCGGGAGCAGCCCUCAGCAAGGAAGAAUUUCAGGCUCUUCUCGACACGCUCCCAAGCUCACCAGGGCCUCAGACUUAGGAGGAGGAAGGAAACCUUCUCCCGAGCCCCUUCCAGGCCUUAUUUCCUGGGAUGCAGGGCCAUAAUGAUAAAAAGAAGGAACAAGCAACCCUUAGUGUUCGGGAGCAGCACCUAGGCAAGAAGACCCAUCCUUCACGUGAAACCCCUCUGUCCUAUUGGCGGCACUUCGUUGCCUCAGUGAGUGUUGCCCAGCUCCACACAAGCUCUUAGGAAGCAUGGACACCAGGAGGGGUGCCCUUCCUGAAGCCUUAAGGAAAUCUAGCAUUGUAAUGACAAAGGUGACCCAACUCUUCUGUCUGCGCCAUCCCUGAACUGGAAUCAAAACAAGUCAAGGAGAUUAGGUAGAAGAAGGACUCAUUCACACACGUUACCUUCCUGGCAAGAUGGGAAGGUAUAUCUGAAGUGUGCUUGGUGUAUAGAAGAGGAGGGGAUGUGACAUGGCUCAAACGUGGGUCCAGGAACGUCAGCUCUUAUCAUGGCUGUGAAUGUCGGCUCUGGCAACUGGAAGCAACUUAAGCCUCUAACUAGCGAUGAUUGCUUCAAAGCUUCAGUCCUUCAUACAGUGGAGACGUUGCAUAUUAUUUGCCCCGGGAACAUUUGCAAUAUAAAAAAUGGCGGGGAAAGGUACAAUAGCAUCUCUAACCUGUGACUCAGGAAAGGAUAGGAACUUUGCUCUUUCCAUCAUUUUAGCAUGUUUGUAUGUAUGAGCCUGUAUAUGUACCUGUACUUUUUCCAUGUGGAUUUUGAAAAAAGUCUGUGUUCUGAGGCUCUUCCAUCAACAGGACCUGCUGCCUUCCUUUGAAAAGUGUGCCUUGGGGGCUUCCCUGGUGGCGCAGUGGUUGAGAGUCCGCCUGCCGAUGCAGGGGACGCGGGUUCGUGCCCCGGUCCGGGAAGAUCCCACAUGCCGCGGAGCGGCUGGGCCCGUGAGCCAUGGCCGCUGAGCCUGCGCGUCCGGAGCCUGUGCUCCGCAACAGGAGAGGCCACAACAGUGACAGGGCCACGUACCGCAAAAAAAAAAAAAAAAGUGUGCCUUGGAUUUUCAGGUUGUAUGUGACAUUCCACUGAUUCAACAGAUAUAUCUUUGAACUCAGUCUGACUUCUUCUACCUCUAUUUUCAUUUGACAGGAAGACUCUGUUACAGUGGCCACACGUAGUGGGAUAGCGCUUCUGGAAAAAGAGCCUGAACACAGUAGCCUCAGGACAAAUGGGGCUUGAGAUUUGGAAAGGGACUCCUUGUGGAAAGGAUUGUGUCUUUCAAUAUAGUGAGAGGAAGACUGCAUCAGGGUGGCUGGAAACAUUCAGAUCCUUUGUUGGCAGGACUUCUGCAGACUGUAGACAGAGCUAAGGGCUGUGGCUUAGCCCCUUGUGUGUCCAAUGCUGCCCGCUGUAGAGGAGCCCAGGGAUGGGCAUUGGAGACCGCACCAUCCUCUGAUGGCCUGUGUGGAAGUACAUCUGCGUUCUCUCGGGAUACCCUGGAUGCUGUGCAUGUCAAAGCCUCUGCUCUGGGACUUCCCUGGUGGUCCAGUGGUUGGGACUCCACGCUGCCACUGCAGGGAGCCUGGGUUUGAUCUUUGGUCAGGGAACUAAGAUCCCGCAAGCCACGUGGCACUGCCAGAAAAAAGGCCUCCGCUCUCACAAGCAGCCUACCACCUGAGUUGUCCAGUUGGGAGCUGGUAGAGGUCUGGCAGCCAGUGCUUUGGUGAGAGCAGCUAUCUAAUCAGAAGCUUCAGGGAAUUUUAUCCACAGAAACUUCCACCUUCUCGAGAAAGACUGUCCUGAUCCAUCAAGAUGGUCCCAUCACCCUCCGAUCUCUGGCACCUGAGAACAAGGGACCAGAAUCUGGGUGUCUUCAAGACAUUCUCCUGAGACUUGAAGACAGCUCUGGUCCCGGUGGCAGCCAUCCAUGGUACCACCUGAUGACCAUCUUUAGAGUGGACAGAGAAACAAACAAAAACAUGUAGCAGCCAGAAUGGAGGAGCCCUAACUAAGACACAGAUCCUGGACCAGGUUGGGGGUUUUAUGCUUUCACAGAUGCUACAGUUGAGGCCCUCCUUCUGAAAGUUGUUGGGCCCAUGCUGGAGGCCUCAGGCAACCACUUGUGCUGUAAGGCAGUUCUCAACAAGCCCUAGCUGCAUCUGAGGGUGGAGAGCAAACUCCUAUUUGGGAGGAAUCCCGUGCUUCCACCAAACAGCAUGUGGAGUUAAAAUAUGAUGUUUUGGUUAUGUAGAGCCAGUGGCCAUUCUCCCAAACGUACAUAAACACAAACACACAUGUAAACACACUCACAUCAGCAUUAUUUUAACCUAAUUGAUUUUAUUGAAUUGCUGGUGUAGUUAUUUCUCAUUCCCAAUUCUGUAUAGGCUUAAUUGUCUUCAUCUAGUCCACAUUUCUGAGUUUCAUAAACCUGGGUGGGAAAGGAAUACAGUAAAGUUGGUAAUUUGUGUAUUUUUUUAAAAUUUUUGAAUUGUCACGAGACCAAACUAAACUGCAAUGUUGGUGUGGUAGUAUUUUUCAUCCAAAUCAUUCCUUUCAAACACAGUUGUGUCAUCCAUCAUCUAAGUUGCUGCCUUCUUUUUUCUUUUUUUUUAAACACACCAUUUUUUAAAUGUAAGUCGGUACUUCAGCUCUGUGUUUUGUUUUCAUAUUAUGUAUAACGAUGUCUAUCUUGGAUGCUGUGGGGCUAUCAUUGUACUUCCCACCUCAUUUGAAUUGUCUUUUUCUUCUCACAAGUUGUGUCAUGCCCUUCCUUUUCUGCACUUCUAUAUUUUCUGACAUUCCCAGACUAGCGAAGGAGUAACCAGCUAAAGAUGGUUAGUUUCCUUUCCCUUAAACCAUUAAAGUUAUGUCUCAUUUCCCUUCUGGGGAUUCUGUCAGGGAACAUUGCUUUAGAGUACAUUGUAUUUGUAUGAGAUGGGCUCCCCUCAACCAAGCAUUCAGUGAUGUUGCGCAAGUGUUGUUGGAAUUCAAGGAGAGAACAUGACCUGGAUUUACCUGGGAGAUGGACCCAGGUAGUGGAACCACCUCAAACCACCCCCCGAGCCUUGUCCUUGGAAUGUGCAUUCUGCUUGGCUUCCCCAAGAAGUAAGCUUAACAAGGACACAACUUUGAGAUAGCAAGGUGUUGUUGACACCUUUGGACAGUAUAGCUGACUGAACCUUUAAUGCCUCUAUUUAACCUUUUUUAAGGUUCUGGCAUACAGGUGGGAAACCUAAUCGUUUUGUGGCUGCCCAAGACAAGCUUCAGAAGUAAGUUCCCUUGCUUGUUAAACAUGCUACCUACCCUAGUGUGGUCUACCCCUUUCUUCAGACUCUCUGUUGCACGUGAGUAAUGGGGUGGGUUUCAGAUUACACCCAGGAAGCUGUCAAGAAGUUGGGACUCAAGACCGUGAUGUGUGGGUAGACCCUGGACUUAUCCAUUCACCCUUAGUAUUCGAAGUAUCAUGAUCUCACCCUCAAAUGAAGGAAAUGACUUAGGCAUGGAAUGAAGUGGGUUUCUGGAGAUGCUGAGGGAUAUGUGCAGUGUACACAAGGAAGCUAGGCUCUUCAUUUUGGAAAGAACACACCCAAACCUAAUCCUGAGGAACCCAGAGUGACGGACUGCAACCGAAAGCAAACUGUUUGAGUAUGUGAAAACUAGAGAGCCCUGAAACAAAAUUGUACUGGUGAAAGGACGAGGGCAGCUUCAGAAGUACCUGGUAGCCUCUGAACUUGCCUUUCAUUUAAUUUCCACUUGCUUCGUGGGAUUCCUUCAAGGUCAUAAAUUUUGAAUGAGGGUUUACCGUAGGAAGCUGUUGAAAUAAAUAGGGGUGAGGCAUCCUUGUACUUGUAUAAGUCCUGUGCUUCCACGAACUGAACAAUUGGCCAGCAGUUUCUGUGCAGUCCAGGUGGCUCUCCCAACAUGGAUUCAUCAGCACAUCAAGCGUUUUAAGUGGUUAAUUUCUAUUGUGUUGAUGGAAAUAAUCAACCAACGGUAGUAAGAAUAGAAGAGAGUUUAUUUUUGCCAAACUGAAAACUAGACCCCAGAAGACACAGAUUCCAGAAGCACUUGAAUUGUCUUCUCCUGGAGUACAAAAUGGAGGCGGCUUAUAAUGGCAAAAUCUGCAGUGUUGCACUCAGUUGCAUGAGUUAUUUCUAAAGAAUUAUAAUUGGAGCUGGCAAGAGAAGGGCUGGUGGUGUCCUGGAGUUUGAUACAGUUCAGGAAAUCCAAGAUCUCUAUGGUGCAGGAACGUGUCUGAAACCACAUUCCACCAUGGCCAUCUGGCUCCAGUUGGAAUGCCUGAAACACAGUUUUAUAUCUUUUCGUAACAAGGGACAAACGUCAGAUAUGGAGUACGUCACUUCAAGGUUUCAAGAGAGAAAGUUUAGCACGUACACAGCUAGGCAGCAUGACCUCACUGUCUGGAAAGAGAAACUCAUCCUCCAAGGAGAACCAGCCUGGGCAUCAUCAGAAGGGGGACAUUUGCCCUUAUCUUGAAAGCGACUCCCAAGAGGACAGAAGAAGGAGACUUGUUCUGAAGCCAUGUCAAAAGGAUGCUGUGCAAGCACUGCUUCAAAAGAACCCUUACCCUCAUGUAGCUACCAGAGAACAGCUGGCCUGAGACCUUGGCAUUCUAGAAAGCAGAGUUCAGAUGCUGUGGAGGCGUCAUGAAUAGUUGUCACCAUGCGGACUAGCCUCUUGUCUUUCCAUAUAAGAAGAAUCACUUCUCCCUUCCGAAGUGGAGUUUCCAAGUUAUCGUUAAAGUGAAGAAAUGUCCUUAUUUGUUUGAACCUUCUUCUCGUCAUAAUCUUUGGAAAGAUAGGUGUUUCAAGUAAGGGAUCAGUCGACCAAUAUCCUUUCCAGUGUGACUUUCUUAUUUGUGCCAUCAAAAUUAUUAAUCCAAGAAACUUCUUCAUGUCACUGUUGGUUACAGCAGUCCGUUUUAAAACCUUAUCAUACUUUUUAUAUGAUUUUUCAUUUUGUUGGUGAUACAAGUUUGAGAAGUGACCAACUCGAACAAGUUACUAAAAAUUAAUUCUGUUAUUUCACUAACACUUUGCUGGUUAUUAUAUUCAGCAGUUACACCUGACACACCUGUAAAGUCUUCUAAUUUUCCUGAAAUGUUGUCUUCAAUCCACUCUUCUGUAGAAGCAAAGGAGCAUUCUCCAGCACUUGUUGUACCUAUAUGAGAUGAUGGAUGUUCAAAACACUAACUGAACACAAGCUAAAGGAAUAGAGAAUUCAGUGACCACAGAUAAGAAAUACAGACUUUGCAAACAAACAAAAGCAGUUUGGAAAAGUCAUUUGGAUAACUGUAGUCUUCAACAAUCAAGAACAGCAAAAUUUGGAGAAGAGCAAGAAAGUAAUUUCUAAAAUUACAACAUUAUGAUACACAAAUGUCCAGUUUCAACAACAAAAUCACAAAGCACACAAAGAAGCAAAAAAACAAAGAAACAAAAAAGUAUGGCCCAAAGGAAAAAUAUAAAUUGACAGAAAUGUCCCUGAGAAGACCAGACAUUGAACUUCCUAAACAAAGGCUUUAAGUCAACUGUAUUAAAUAUGGUAGGAGUCAAGAUGAUGGAGGAGGAGGACAUGGAGUUCACCUCCCCCCAAAAACGCAUCAAGACCACAUCUGCCAAUGGAACAGUUCUCACAGAGCACCUGCUGAACACUAGCAGAGGUCCUCAGACACCUAAAAGGACAAGAAAGAACCCCAUGUAACCACAUAGGACCAAAGGAAAAAAAAAAAGCCCAGAAACAGGAUGGACUGCACCUCUGUUGUGGAGCUAAAGGAGAGGAGAGGUUGCCACACCCGAGAGCCCCCUCACCAGUGGCGAGAUCAGUUGGGACAAAAGGGGAGCUUCAGGGGCUUGGAGGAGAGAGCAGCAAUCUGUGGCAGGUCGGAGAGAGUGAGACCCAUAAAGGUGGUCCAUGCCACAGCCCUGUGCACCCCAGGCUGAGGUGCGUCCACCAGUACAACGGGGGCUGGGUGCUGGAACAGGGUGCUUGGAGAACAGAUCUGAAAAGAGGACUGCUAUUGGCUGCAAGGAGACAACGUGAAGGGGUGGGAGUGAGGAGCUCCAUAACUGGGAAUGCUCAGGGAAAAAGCCCAGGGGAUGCCACUAGGAGGGGCUCCUGCCAGAGCGGGCUUAUGUGCCCCUGGUGGCCGCCUCCAGCCCCUCUCGCCUGGGCGGGCACACAUGGCAGUUAGUGGCCACCUCUACCCCCUCCUGCCUGGGCAGGCUCAUGCACCCCUGGUUGCUGCCUCAGCCCCCUCCCACCUGGGAGGGCUUCAUGUGCUCCAGGGCAGCCCCAGGAGCAGAUGCCUGUGGGUAGCCCACGUGCAGAGGUGGGGCUGAAACCACAGCAGAGCCCCAGGACCCAUGCAGCUAAGAAAGAAGAGCUGAAAUCUCUCCUCCCACUGUGUGAACCACAGAAUUACACCCUCACAACUGGCUUUAUAAACUCAGCAUCUCAGGAACAUCUGAAGGGACAAUAAGUGUUCCUGCAGCUGUGGACUUUGUGAGCAAGUACAUGUGGGAGAUAGGCCAGGCCAGAGUAUGCAUUGCCUCCACGGCGCCCACAGUGGUUCCAGAUGCAUGAUUACUGCAGUCCUGGGAACUGACCUCAGUGGAUCUAUGCUGGUGGCCUGGUGAAAACAAUGCCUGAGAGAAACGAGGGCCAAUUGCUGGUGUACCCACGGUUAAGGGGGGGCUGAAAGCAGUGCCAACGAGAUUGGAGUUUGUGAGCUCGGACAACGGGUGAAAGGUGACGCAGCAGAGCACACUCAGAAGUAAACACGUGCAGAGGAGGUGUACUCAGUGGCUUCUCUCCCAGUGGGAGUGCUCCAAUACAGCCUACCUUGCACCACAGACCAGAAACACAGCUGAGAAACAGACUGGGGGGCUUCCCUGGUGGCGCAGUGGUUGAGAGUCCGCCUGCCGAUGCAGGGGACACGGGUUUGUGCCCCGGUCCGGGAAGAUCCCACAUGCCGCGGAGCGGCUGGGCCCAUGAGCCAUGGCCACUGAGCCUGCGCAUCCGGAGCCUGUGCUCCGCAAUGGGAGAGGCCACAACAGUGAGAGGCCCGCGUACCACAAAAAAAAAAAAAAAAACAAAAAGAAACAGACUGGGAGCCUCUUCAACAACAACUAGGGAGCAGACCCCACCCCCGACAGGGCACUGACAACCACAGAGCAAAGAGGAGGCCCUGCUCAAUACCCAGUGCAGGAUCUGGUCACUAAAACAUCAGUCACACCUCUUACCAAGGUGAUAAGCAUAAGCUGAAGAAAAAGAUGGCAGACACCCAUACUGAAAACAGCCCUUGGACCAAAAAAUGUUAAACCCAUGCAGGCUACACGGACUUUCCCACAGAAAAAUAGCCCUGCAGGGCUUCCCUGUUGGCAUAGUGGUUAAGAAACCACCUGCCAAUGCAGGGGACACGUGUUCAAGCCCUGGUCCAGGUAGAUCCCACAUGCUGCGGAGCAACUAAGCCUGUGUGCCACAACUACUGAGCCUGCGCUCUAGAGCCUGUGAGCCACAACUAUUGAGCCUGUGUGCAACAACUACUGAAGCCCAUGUGCCUAGAGCCCGUGCUCCACAACAAGAAAAGCCACUGCAAUGAGAAGCCCACACACUGCAAUGGAGAGUAGCCCCCACUCGCCACAACUAGAGGAAGCCCGCGUGCAGCAAUGAAGACCCAGGGCAGCCAAAAAUAAAUACAUAAAAUAAUUAAAUUAAAAAAAAUAGCCCUCCAAGACAGUCUGAGGGUUUGACACUGGGAGGAAAAACCCCUAGAGCAUUUAGCCUUGAAGGCCAGCAGGGCUUGAGUGCAGGAGCUCCACAGGGCUGGGGGAAACAGACUCCACUCUUGGAGGCCAUGCACACUAGGCCUCAUGUGCACUGGGACACGGCACAAAGCAGUACCUCCAAAGGAACCUGGCAGACCUAUCUAGGGGUCUUGGAGGGUCUCCUGGGGAGGCAGGGAUCGACUGUAGCUCACUGUGGGGGCAAGGACACUGGCAGUGGAGGCCCCAGGGAAUAGUGAUCAGCGUGAGCACUCCUGGAGGUCCCCAUUUCGGCACCAAGACCCGACCCCACCCAACAGCCUGAAGGCUCCAGUGCUAGAAAGCCUCAGGUCAAACAACCAGCAAGACAGGAGCACAGCUCCACCCAUCAGUAGACACGCUGUCUAAAGUUGUACUGAGCUCACAACCAUCUCAAAACCAACACUUUGACAUGGCCCUGCCCACCAGAAGAACCAGACCCAGCUCCACCCUCCAGGCAGCAGGCACCAGUCUCUCCAAUGAGGAAGCCUGCACAAGCCCCUGGACCAACCUCACCCACCAGGGGUCAGACACCAGAAGCGAAAGGAACGACUAUCCUGAAGCCUGCAGAAAGGAGACCACAAGCACAGAAAUUUAGACAAAAUGAGAGGACAGAGAAAUAUAUUGCAGACAAAGGAACAACCUAAAAACCCAAAGAAGAACUAAAUGAAAAGGAGAUAGACAGUCUACCUGAAAAAGAAUGUAGAGUAAUGAUAGUAAAGAUGGUCCAAAAUCUCGGAAAAAGAAUGGAGGCACAGACUGAGAAGAUACAAGAAAUGUUUAACAAAGAACUAGAAUACUUAAAGAACAAACAAAUAGAGAUGAACAACACAAUAACUGAAAUGAAAACUAUACUAAAAGGAAUCAAUAGCAGAAUAACUGAGGUGGGAGAAUGAAUAACUGAGCUGGAAAACAGAGUGGUGGAAAUCACUUCCACAGAGCAGAAUAAAGCAAAAAAGAAUGAAAAGAAAUGAGGACAGUCUCAGAGACCUCUGGGGCAAUAUUAAAUGCACCAACAAUUGCAUUAUGGGGUCCCAGAAGAAGAAUAGGAAGAGAAAUGGCCUGAGAAAAUAUUUGAAGAGAUAACAGCUGAAAACUUCCCUAACAUGGGAAAGGAAACAGUCACCCAAGUCCAGGAAGUGCAGAGUCCCAUCUGGGAUAAACACAAGGAGGAACAUGCUGAGACACAUAUUAAUCAAACUAACAAAAAUUAAAUACAAAGAAAAAAACCUUAAAAGCAAAAAGGGAAAAGCAUCAAAUAACAUAAAAGGGCAUCCCCACAAGGUUAUCAGCUGAUUUCUUAGCAGAAACUCUGCAGGCCAGAAGGGAGUGACACAAUAUAUUUGAAGUGAUGAAAAGGAGAAACCUAAAGCCAAGAAUACUUGACCCACCAAGGCUCUCAUUCAGACUUGAUGGAGAAAUCAAAAGCUUUACAGACAAGUAAAAGCUACAAGAAUUUAGCAUCACCAAACCAGUUUUACAACAAAUGCUAAAGGAACUUCUCUAGGCAGGGGAAGGAAAAAAAAAGAGGCCACAACUAGAAAUAAGAAAUCACAAAUGGGAAACCUCACCAGUAAAGGGAAGGAUACAGUAAAAGUAGAAAAUCAUCCACACACAAAUAUGAUAUCAAAACCAGCAGCCAUUAGAAGAGGAGAGUACAAAUGCAGGAAAAGGGGAUUGCAUUUGAAAUUCAGAGACCAGCAACUUGAAACAAUCUUAUAUAGACUACUAUAUCAAAACCACAUGGGAACUUCAAACCAAAAAACUACGACACACACACAAAAAGAAAAAGCAACCCAAACAUAACACUAAAGAUAGUCAUCAAACCUCAAGAGAACAAAACAGAAAGAGAAGAAAAAAGACCUACAAAAACAAAUCCAAAAAUAUUCAGAAAAUGUCAAUAGGAACAAACAAAUCAAUAACUACCUUAAAUGCCAAUGGAUUAAACGCUCCAACCAAAAGAUAGAGACUGGCUGAACGGAUGCAAAAACAAGACCCGUAUAUAUGCUGUCUACAAGAGACCCACUUCAGAUUUAGGGACACACACAAACUGAAAGUGAGGGGAUGCAAAAAAGUAUUCCAUGCAAAUGUAAAUCACAAGAAAGUUGGAGUAGCAAUAAGCAUAUCAGACAAAAUAGACUUUAAAAUAAAGACUGGGGCUUCCCUGGUGGCGCAGUGGUUGAGAGUCCACCUGCCAAUGCAGGGAACAUGGGUUCGUGCCCCGGUCUGGGAAGAUCCCACAUGCCGUGGAGCAGCUGGGCCUUUAAGCCAUGGCCGCUGAGCCCACGCGUCCAGAGCCUGUGCUCUGCAACGGGAAAGGCCAUAACAGUGAAAGGCCUGCGUACCACAAAAACAAACAAACAAAAACCAUUUAAAAUAAAGACUGUUACAAGAGAAAAAGAAGGACACUACAUAAUGAUAUAGGGAUCAAUCCAAUAAGAAGAUAUAACAAUAGCAAAUAUAUAUGCACCCAACAAAGGAGCACCUCAAUAUAUAAGGCAAAUGCUAACAGCCAUAAAAAAAAGAAAUUGACAGUAACACAAUAAUAGUGGGGGACUUUAAUACCCCUCUGUCAUCAAUGGACAGAUUAUCCAGACAGAAAAUCAAUAUGGAAACACAGCCUUAAAUGACAUAUUAGACGAGAUGGACUUAAAUGAUAUUUAGAGAACAUUCCCUCCCAGUGCAGCAGAAUACACUUUCUUUUCAAGUGUACAAGAAACAUUCUCCAGGAUACAUCACAUCUGGGGCCACAAAUCAAGCCUCAUUAAAUUUAAGAAAACUGAAAUCAGAGCAAGCAUCUUUUCUGACCAAAACGCUAUGAGAUUAGAAAUCACUUACGGCAAAAAACUGUAGAAAACACAAACACUUGGAGGCUAAACAAUAUGUUACUAAACAACCAAUGGGUCACUGGAGAAAGUGAAGAGGAAUUCAAAGAAUACCUAGAGACAAAUGACAGCAAAAACAUGAUGACUCAAAACCUUUGGGACUGAGCAAAAGCAGUUCUAAGAGGGAAGUUUAUAGCAAUACAAUACUAUCUCAGGAAACAAGAAAAAUCUCAAACAACCUAACCUUACACCUAAAGCAACUAGAGAAAGAAGAACAAACAAAACCCAAGGUUAGUAUAAGGAAAGAAAUCGUAAAGAUCAGAGCAGAAAUAAAUGAAAUAGAGAUGAAGAAAACAAUAGAAAGGAGCCACAGAGGUCCACAUUUGUUCAGUGGGUUAAAGGACAUGGAAUGGAAAACCUUGAGGAGGAAGAAAAGAAAGUUCUGUGCCAGAAUGGUCAUACUUGUAAGACAUUUCCAUGCUAUAACCAUUUUUUGUGUGUGUAUUUUAUUCCUCACUACUGUAUAUACAGUUGACAAUAAGUACUUUUUUGAAAUAUCUAAUCAUUCUGGAUGUUCUGAAGUGUCUGAUAUAUAUUAAAAGUAGAGGUAAUAAAAAGACAUUUUGUAAAUAUAUUUUUGUUAAAAUUCAUAUGAAAUAUUGUUCUUUAUUUGGAGGGGGGGCAAGCUUGGCCAAACCACCUCUUUUUUUGGGUUUUUUU